UUCCUCUCUUAGGUAAUGUGGUCAAUGGAUCUUCCUCUGGAACUGUGCCUAGAGCUGCAGCCCAAGGCCCCAGUGGUAAUGUCGCCAAUGGAUCUCCCUCUGGAAAUAUGCCUAAAGCUGCAACCCAAGGUCCCAAAGGUACUGCCGCUGCAAGCAGUCAUGCCCCAGGUCCUUCGGGGUACAGGCCCGCACCUCGCCGACGUCCUGUGCAACCCGACAAGUACAUGAGACUGCUGUUUUCUACGGACGGUAACGACAACGACAUCUCUGACUCUGAAUUUGUUCUGGACAGUGACAGUGACAGUGACAGUGACAGUGACAGUGACUUUGACAGUGACAGUGAAAGUGACAGGGACAAUGAACUGCGUGAAGGUGAGGAUGACCACCGGAACAGAGAAGUGCCGUUGCCUGAGACCCCAGACUUCUCAUUUGCUUGGUCAGAAGGGUCAGACUUCGUACCUGACCUGCACGAGUUUUGCUCUGACAGGAGUGGCGUGACGAGAGACUGGCCUUGCAACGACCAGUCAAAUGAGAGUGACUUUUUCCGUGCCUACUUGGAUGAUGAGUUGAUGUCAUUUGUUGCCCAUCAUACCAACGACCAUUUUCGUUUGGUGUGUGAGGGAAUGAAUGGUCUUCCACCCACUUCCAGGGCACGGAA